GUCCACCUCAUUACUUACUUAUUACUUUUUGCAUACCAUUAUUGUCUACGGAUACUACAUCUACAUCAACAACUUGGGGUUGAUUUGUUCUCCUAUAGUUUCUAGCUUGUCUUGACAGAAUACACUCAUUACUUGCCACUGCGCUAAAGUACAUUCAUCAAUAUUGUCUCAAAUUCUUGGAGGACAUCUUUUCAGCUAUGCUAAUCAUCCUGUUUUGGGCAUGAGCUGCCCCUCUAAAGGUCACAGUUCAAUUAGACAAUUUCAUUCCAGUGGUCCGGACUGUAAAAAACACACUUCUCUGUGUAUAUAAAGGAUACUGUGUGAGAAUUGGUAGGAAAGGCGUGCAAUUUAGAGGACGUUGUCGUAGAAACAUGAGAGGAUUUGAUGGCGGUAGUGCUUGAAGCCACAGUGGAGACGAUCAACCAUCGGACGAAGAAUAUGGAUGCCUGUCUUUAAAAGUCAUAUGGACAGGAAACACAACACAAAGCUCACAGAGGGAGGAGACAGGCGGCAGAGAAUCGAGGGAUCUUCGAGUUAAACAACAGGAUUUCGGCGACACUCGUGGAGGCUUUGUCGCCUUUGUAGCAGAGGCCACAGUGAACAUACCAGUCAUCCAGUGCAGCCGGGCAGGCAGUCAAUCAAG
ensembl:lncRNA